rnacentral:misc_RNA from 1 species
GAUAACCCGCCCCACCCCUCCCUCCCACCAACCCCCGCCGCCGCCUCACACCCCCUCCGCAACCCCUCCCAUGCCUACCGCCACAUCGACUAACAAUUUUAUCCAACGGCCGUCAGCUCCUCUGUCACCGUUACCGCCGUUUCCGGGGGUCCACGCGGCGGCCGAGUCGCCGGUUUCUGCUUACAUGCGCCUCCUGCAGAACUCGAUCUCUGGCGUCGAUUCUAAUAAUCAGUUUUUGGGAUUCUCGCCGCUAGCGCCGCUGGUUUCUCCUCGAUGGAAUAAUCUACCUCCUCAACGGCCGCAGCUG